GUAUGAGCAUGUUCAGAUGUGUCUUUGAGAUGUUGGAGGAACACAAAGUAGAGAAUCACUUUAGUUACAUCAUGAUCAACAUGUCGCGUUAGGAUAUCUUUUAUCUUUGAAAGUAUAAUGUGUUACCUAACUACAAGAACUCAAAUAUAGGACUUCUUGUUGGAGAUGCUCUAAGGAGAUCGAGGAUGAUCCCGUCUACGGUGGCAAGCAGUACUACAAUUAAGUAAUAAUGGAGGGCGGCCUGGUGUUGACAGCCAAACAGCGACAGGAAUACCCUGGCGGAUGGAACCCGUUCGUGUUAUGGCGCGGCGUGCCUCGUGGCGCCAUAGAGCUUCAUUACAAUCAUCUUCUUCGUGUUCUACGCUAUCUUCAUGACACUAUCUAUGGUUGUCUAUAUUUAGAGAGAGAAUAUGGAUGAAGGAGUAUCCUCUAUAUUUAGAGUGUACUCUAGAGGACAUCUUUGAAGUCUAUAGAGGAGAGAAUCUUUUCUAUAUUUAUAGCUAGUAGAUGAACAUAUAGAGUUAGUCGUUGAAGACAACCUGAGAUACUACUUUAGCUUUGCUUUAGUCAAAAACAAAUUACAUGUCAAUUUUACACAUCUUUAUCAUUUCUAGAAUUGACUGUUUUUAGAGGCAAUCGAUAAUGGUAGGAACGUCGAGUGUCUUUGGAACGGAA